UCGGCCGGCGGAGCGGCGGCAUGCGGCGGGCUCGGGCCGCGGGGCUGGCGGCGCUGCUUGUGCUGCUCAUCGUGGCUUCCGGCAGAGCCCAGGUGCAGCAGGAGCCAUUUCUGGAGACCACCGAGGGCACCGGCAUCAACAUCACCUGCUCACACGCCAACAAGCGGCUGGGCGAUUACAUCCAUUUCUACCGUCUGCUCCCGGGCCAAAGCCCCGAAUUCCUCGCCCUCACUGCUACAAGCUCUAAGCCACUGUCGAGCAUAGCAGGAUCGCUGUCUGUGUCGGAGGACGGGCGUUCGAGCUGGCUGUGGCUCGCUGAGCCCCGGCGCGGGGACGCGGCCGUGUAUUACUGCGCGCUGGGGGCCACGGGCAGAGGAGCCGGGGCUGCGGCCGGGCACGAACCGCCGCGGGCGGGGCCGGGCGGGGCCAGCAGGGGGCGCUGCCGCUCCGCCCACGGGGCUCCCGGGCGGCGCCCGCGCAGCUCCUUCCUCUGCCCCGAGCCCGCAGCACCGACAGCGCCCAUGGCAGCCAAAGGCGCGCACACUCCGGGCCUGCUGGCCCUCACUUUGAUUGCUGUUGCUUCUCCUCACUUCCAUCACAUCUCUGAGCCUCCCUGA